rnacentral:lncRNA from 1 species
UCAAGACCCAAAACUGCUCUGAAGCCCUGGUCUCCUGACUUUCCAUAUUGAAUUUCUGCAAACAGAGUCUCAGUCCUAGCUAGAAAGUGCCCUUCAGAGAACUACGGAUUUCCUUGCACCUGAGUAUGACCAGUUUAUUAGGAUGUCAUUAAAUAUAAGCACAAAAGCUGCCUGUGAGCCUGUUGGGUGAUGGAAAACUGGGCAAGGUGUUGAAUGCACUAUGUUUGAACCUGCUCCAGCAGUCUAAUAAAAUCCUAAAUGGCCCGAGGAAGGUGACUAGAGAACUAUUACUCAUUGUCUUUUGCGCCACCAGCACUUCAGAAAUCAAAUAAAAUUGCUGGGUAAUGGAUUUAGAAGAAGCCAAAGAACAUCAUUUUUCACAUGAAGCACAGCAAAGUUAUGAAACUUCUUGUUGAAGACAGUGUGGAUGCUAGAAGUUUAAAAAGGUUCAAGAGGUAGGAAAAUCCAGGAAAGGUACUACUUGCAGGCCAGACAGCCAACUGCAUCCUGGGCUGCAUCAACAGAGGAGUGGGCAGCAGUGGAGGAAGGUGAUUAUCCCCCUCUGCUCUGCUCUCUUGAGGCCCCACCUGGAGUGCUGCAUUCUGCUCUGGGACCCUUGCACAAGAAGGACAUGGAAAUAUUAGAGUGAGCCCAGAGGAUGGCCAUGAGGAUGAUCAGAGAUAUGAUUUAAGGAGACUGAUAUCCUUCAGGAGAAGACAGAUGAGGCCAGACAAGCUCUCCCUCAAUGCCAGAAACAUCACUGGACACCUCCUGAUCGGAUGAAUAAUUCCUCACAGGGACUAUUUUUGCCCCGGAAUAUCUCUGAACUGGAUAUUUGUUAUGAAGUGGACUACAUGACAAUGGCUCUGCAUUCACCACUUCCUCCUUUGCUUCUGUAUCCAGAAUGCCUAAGUCAAUGCAGAUCUGUUAUAUAAGGAAGCAAUGGAUGGGAUUAAUCAAAAGCCUGAUCUUUUGAGGAUUUCUUCUAAAAAAUUAUCCUGGGAUCCAGAAUGUCUGGUCUUCAGCAUGUUUCAAGGCUGGUUUAUUCUUUUCACUGGACCUGACAAGAAGCUACAUGUGAGCUUCUACCUUACAAAGCACCAGAAGCUCCUCCAGGGCUGGGACUGGAUUCCCCCAACCAAGAAGACCAAUUUGUCUUGGCUGGAACCUUCAUAAAUCUUCUUCUAGGUGAUCCCAGUGGUCAUUAAUAAAGUUGGAGCUCUUGUCA